UAAGCAUAUCAAUAAGCGGAGGAAAAGAAACCAACAGGGAUUGCCUCAGUAACGGCGAGUGAAGCGGCAACAGCUCAAAUUUGAAAUCUGGCGGCCUCUGGGCCGUCCGAGUUGUAAUUUGAAGAGGAUGCUUUUGGCGAGGCGCCUUCCGAGUGCCCUGGAACGGGACGCCACAGAGGGUGAGAGCCCCGUAUGGUUGGACGCCGAGCCUCUGUAAAGCUCCUUCGACGAGUCGAGUAGUUUGGGAAUGCUGCUCAAAAUGGGAGGUAAACCCCUUCUAAAGCUAAAUACUGGCCAGAGACCGAUAGCGCACAAGUAGAGUGAUCGAAAGAUGAAAAGCACUUUGAAAAGAGAGUUAAACAGCACGUGAAAUUGUUGAAAGGGAAGCGCUUGCGACCAGACUUGUGCCCGUCGAAUCAGCCGCCGCUCGUCGGCGGCGCACUUCGGCGGGCUCAGGCCAGCAUCAGUUCGCUGCAGGGGGAGAAAGGCGAUGGGAAUGUGGCUCUUCGGAGUGUUAUAGCCCGCCGCGCAAUACCCCUCGGCGGACUGAGGACCGCGCAUCUGCAAGGAUGCUGGCGUAAUGGUCGUCAGCGACCCGUCUUGAAACACGGACCAAGGAGUCGUCCUAAUAUGCGAGUGUUCGGGUGUAAAACCCCUGCGCGUAAUGAAAGUGAACGGAGGUGAGAGCUUCGGCGCAUCAUCGACCGAUCCUGAUGUUCUCGGAUGGAUUUGAGUAAGAGCAUAUUGGGCCGGACCCGAAAGAAGGUGAACUAUGCCUGUAUAGGGUAAAGCCAGAGGAAACUCUGGUGGAGGCUCGCAGCGGUUCUGACGUGCAAAUCGAUCGUCAAAUAUGGGCAUGGGGGCGAAAGACUAAUCGAACCUUCUAGUAGCUGGUUUCCGCCGAA
rnacentral:rRNA from 1 species